CUACCUCUGCGCGGUUCGAUUCCCGACAUGACGGCGGAUACGACACGUUUUAUUGAAUUGCAAAAUUGUUAUCAUGAAAAAUCGCUGGAAGAUAUCGAAAAA